rnacentral:lncRNA from 1 species
AGAAGAAGAAGAGAAGUUGAGGGAGAAGAGAAGAAAAGAAGAAGAAGAGGGAAAAGAAGAGAGGAGGAAGAAGAGGGAGAAGAGAAGAAAAGAAGAAGAAGAAGAAGAAGAAGAGAGGGAAGAUGGAGAGGAGAGAGAGAGAGGCAACAGCUACAGCUAGGGUUGCAGCACCUCUGUUUCCCGCAGGUGGAAACAGAGGAGAGGAUGUGUGGGGCGUUGGGGAAGAGAAGGGAAGAGGAAGAAGAAGAAGAAGAAGAAGAGAGGAGGAUAGCUGUGGCAAGGCUGCAGCGAGGAGGUGUGUGGCGUUGGGGAGGAAAAGGGAAUAGGAGAAGAAGAGAAGGAGAAGAAGAGGGAAAAGAGAGGGAAGAGGGAGAGGAGCGAGAGGUGGCAGCAGCUAGGGCUGCAGCACCUCUGUUUCCUGCAGGUGGAAACAGAGGAGAGGUGUGGGGCGUUCGAAGAGGAGAAGAAGAAGAAGAGGAAGAGAAGAGGAAGAGGAAGCAGGAGAAGAGGUUGUGAUACCUCUAUUUCCUGCAGAGGAAACAGAGAAGAGGGAGUGUGUGACGCCACGGAGGAGGAGGGAAGAAGAAGAG